rnacentral:rRNA from 1 species
GCCCAGACUCCUACGGGAGGCAGCAGUCGGGAAUAUUGCGCAAUGGAGGAAACUCUGACGCAGUGACGCCGCGUGCAGGAAGAAGGUUUUCGGAUUGUAAACUGCUUUAGACAGGGAAGAAACAAGACAGUACCUGUAGAAUAAGCCCCGACUAACUACGUGCCAGCAGCCGCGGUAAUACGUAGGGGGCAAGCGUUAUCCGGAUUUACUGGGUGUAAAGGGAGCGUAGGCGGUUCAGCAAGUCAGAAGUGAAAGCCCGGGGCUCAACUUCGGGACUGCCUUUGAAACUGUUGAACUAGAUUGCAGGAGAGGUAAGUGGAAUUCCUAGUGUAGCGGUGAAAUGCGUAGAUAUUAGGAGGAACACCAGUGGCGAAGGCGGCUUACUGGACUGUAAAUGACGCUGAGGCUCGAAAGCGUGGGGAGCAAACAGGAUUAGAUACCCCAGUAAG